rnacentral:rRNA from 1 species
GACGAACGCUGGCGGCGUGCUUAACACAUGCAAGUCGAACGGAAAGGCCCCCACUUUUUUGGUGGGGGUGCUCGAGUGGCGAACGGGUGAGUAACACGUGGGUGAUCUGCCCUGUACUUCGGGAUAAGCUUGGGAAACUGGGUCUAAUACCGGAUAGGACCAUGGUUUAGUGUCUCAUGGUGGAAAAAUUAUUGUUUUGGUGCAGGAUGAGCUCGCGGCCUAUCAGCUUGUUGGUGGGGUAAUGGCCUGCCAAGGCGUCGACGGGUAGCCGGCCUGAGAGGGUGGACGGCCACAUUGGGACUGAGAUACGGCCCAGACUCCUACGGGAGGCAGCAGUGGGGAAUAUUGCACAAUGGGCGCAAGCCUGAUGCAGCGACGCCGCGUGGGGGAUGACGGCCUUCGGGUUGUAAACUCCUUUCGUUAGGGACGAAGCCGCACCUUUUUUGGGUGUGGUGACGGUACCUUUGUUAAGAAGCACCGGCUAACUACGUG